rnacentral:rRNA from 1 species
UCCUACGGGAGGCAGCAGUGAGGAAUAUUGGUCAAUGGGCGAGAGCCUGAACCAGCCAAGUCGCGUGAAGGAUGACGGCCCUACGGGUUGUAAACUUCUUUUGUCAGGGAGCAAUUGGGUCCACGCGUGGGCUUAGCGAGAGUACCUGAAGAAAAAGCAUCGGCUAACUCCGUGCCAGCAGCCGCGGUAAUACGGAGGAUGCGAGCGUUAUCCGGAUUUAUUGGGUUUAAAGGGUGCGUAGGCGGAAUAUCAAGUCAGCGGUAAAAAUUCGGGGCUCAACCCCGCCGUGCCGUUGAAACUGAUGU